rnacentral:rRNA from 1 species
AGUGAACGCUGGCGGCAGGCCUAACACAUGCAAGUCGAGCGGCAGCACAGUAAGAGCUCGUCCCUUCGGGUGGCGACGGGCGGGUGAGUGAGAAAUACAUCGCAAGCUACUUUUUCUUGGGUGAGAACGUAGGCACACAUACCCUAAUAGCUCAUACGACGUACGGGUGGAAUCAGCGGAUCUUAGGAUCUUUGAUGACUCUAUGAGCCGAUGUCGGAUUAGCUAGUUGGAGGGGUAAAGGCCCACCAAGGCGACGAUCCGUAGCUGGUCUGAGAGGAUGAUCAGCCACACUGGAACUGAGACACGGUCCAGACUCCUACGGGAGGCAGCAGUGGGGAAUAUUGGACAAUGGGCGAAAGCCUGAUCCAGCCAUGCCGCGUGAGUGAAGAAGGUCUUCGGAUUGUAAAGCCCUUUUAUUGGGGAAGAAAAGCAGUAGGUUAAUACCUCGCUGUUUUGACGGUACCCAAAGAAUAAGCACCGGCUAACUUCGUG